UACGUAGGGGGCAAGCGUUAUCCGGAUUUACUGGGUGUAAAGGGAGCGUAGACGGCAGUGCAAGUCCGGAGUGAAAGCCCGGGGCUCAACCCUGGGACUGCUCUGGAAACUGUAAAGCUGGAGUGCGGGAGGGGCAGGCGGAAUUCCUGGUGUAGCGGUGAAAUGCGUAGAUAUUAGGAGGAACACCAGUGGCGAAGGCGGCCUGCUGGACUGCAACUGACGUUGAGGCUCGAAGGCGUGGGGAGCAAACAGG
rnacentral:rRNA from 1 species